rnacentral:sRNA from 1 species
ACCUCUGAGAAAUGGAAGAAAAUAUGAUCAUAGAUGGGAGGCGUUGACUAGUCUUGCAAGAUUUUAUGAGAAAUCUUUAGUGUUUGGUCCAAAAGACCAGUGUAUUUCCUGGGGGAUCCAUAGCGGGGUACAAAACAACCUUUACAGCACUGGGAUAUUUGUCUCCAGGUCAGAGAUAUGAUACACUGUGCUUUCUGAACAUCCGUUUUCUGUUCUCAUUGGACUAAACCCAAGUCAAACCCUUGACCUAAGACUGCUGCCCAAUCACAUGCUUGCAAGUUAUCCAUGUCAAUCAAGUCUGCGGGGCGGGAGCUCCGCCCACAGACUGAGGACAUUUCCUUUCGGGAGAUAACACCCAUGAUGUUCGGCGUAUGGCAUGCUGAAAACUCAUCGUCCAACAAUUAACUUACUGGGGGUUAGGGAGACUCUCUCUACAUAGUCUAAUCAUCCUGGAACUCACUAUCUAGAUCAAGCUAGCCUCAGACUCACAGAUAUGCACCUGCCUUUGCCUCCCAAGAGCUGGUAUUAAACCGAUGCCCCACCACACUGUGCCUUGUGAUAGCUAAUCUGGGUUGUCAACCUGACUAUAUCGGGAAUCAACUAAAACCCAAGCAGCUGGACACACACGUGUGAGAAGUUGAAAAUUUUCUUGAUUGGAUAGUUUGAGGUGGAAAGGCCUGCCCUGAAUCUAGACCUUUUGAGGCGAGAAGAUUCGGUCUAAAUCUGGGCCACACCUUCUGGUGGCAGCCUAUGUAAAAGGACACAGAAGGAGGAAAUCCUUUGCUUUAUGCCUGCUUGCCUUUACUCAAGUUGGCAAGUUCAUCUAUCCAGCUGCUGAGUUAUCUCUUCACUAGUUUGACAACCCACUUCUCUGGGAUUCAACAUGUAUUAAAGGCCAGCUAAGACAUCCGUCCUCAUGGACUGAACAAUUAUCGGAGUCCUGAAAUCUCUGUCAGGAGACAACCAUUAUUGGACUAGGCAGACCAUAGUCCAUUAGCCACUCAAGUAAAUCCCCUUUUAUAGCUACCUAUUCACACUCUGUGCUGUUCCUCUAGAGAACAUGGACUAACACUGGAGGGGAAAACCCACGUGGACCGAUAACGCUCUGAGUUCUCAAAGCUGACCUGGUAGCAAUUUGAAGUUUAGCAGUUCCACAGGAUCAUCCAAAGCAUGAGAGGCCGACUGCCUGGGGACCCAGCCUUCUCUGUGUGGCAAGAAGGUGCCAUAAAGAAAGAAUGAUAUAAAGAUUUCUAUCACGAGGAGACACUUGAUUGCCUGUUCUCAGCGUUGAAUUCUAUCGUAAGGCAAGUCUCAAUUUUUCUUUUUUUUAAAAGAAAGAUUUUGUAAUCCUGUUUCAAAACAUGUAUCUGCCGAUAUGAAGUGAUAAAAUGUCGUUCCAUGGACUGGCUCUGGCCCCCAAAUUAGGAACACAAUGUGCUUUAAGAAUACUGACAACAGAGGAGCCAAGGAGAAGGUUUCAAACAAACUAAUCAGGGCUUGGAGAGAUGACUCAGUGUUAAAUGUUCUCCGCUCUUCAAGAGAACCUGAGCUCAGAUCUCAGGACGCACGUUUCUGUGAGUUCAGAUCUCAGGACGCAUGUUUCACAAGCACCUAUAACUCCAGCCACAGGGCACCCGAUACCCUCUCCUGGCCUCCCCAUACCUGCUCAGUUGUGAGAUACCUUCGCUCUGACACAAAAACACAUGGGUCAAAAUACAGCUCAGACUCACACAGAGAGAGGAGUAGCCGAGGUUAGGUGGACCGAGCAGGCUGACAAAGAAGCCCUCAGCACCCCAGAAGCUCGGCGUGCUGCUUCUGUGCGGUUGAGCAGGGGGGCUGGGUUAUUUCACACAGCUGAACGAGGAGGCAGGGUUUAUGGUGUACAGCAGGACCAGCGAGACAGGUUUUGUUCAUCUCAGUAGAGACGGUCUCCUUAGGGGAGAAGUCUUUAGGCUAGAAACAGAGGGAGACAGCAGUGGUCAACAUUUUUGGGCAAAUUAUCAACACUCGAAUUCAGACCAGGAGGGACGCCUUUGCCAUGUCCACAAGCCUAACCCAGCGAAGGGCUAUUUUCUGCCAUUUUCCUACGGGUCUGAGGCUCAGUUUCUUGACAAGGCUGUGCCCGUGUCCAAAGCACACAUUCUCUCAGGACUUCACCCAGGGCUGGCUCUCUGUCUACAUUUACCCUUAAAGAACAAUGGCUCUUCUCACCCCCACGGCCUCCAAUUCCAAUGCCUCGUCAGCCAGGGUGGGGACUCGUGAGUUUCUCCUUCAGCAUGGCGGGAUGCUCAGUGGCUGGGUCUCCUGCAGAUCCUAUAUCCACAGUAUCCACAGCUGUUCUGAUGUGAGCCUGGAGGGCAAUGACCACGUCCUGUCUAGGAGACACUAUUCAUAGCACUCUGCCCGGCCUCCAGUUCUUAUAUUCUUCUGCCUACUCUUCCACCAUGUUCCCCGAGCCUGGGUGCAGGGGAGGGGGAGGCUGAUACAACGUCCCAGUUAGGUCUGACCACUCAGGGUCACUUAUGCCCCUCACUCUGACCAGUUGUGAGUCUAUGUAGUAACCACUGCCCACCACAAGCCGACAACUCCCCGACCCAGUCUUGAGAGCACGCCAAUCUACAGUUAUAAAUAUUUAAAAGGCAGCUUGACAACACGAUCAUUUAGAAAACCGGUGAUCACAGGUCCCCUGCAAGCAUUUAUGGCCUUCCUGGCCAUGGGCUUUGGACUAAGUUUACAGAGUCGAGUGGAGCAAGCCCCAUAUGCAGUCGAAGGGCAGCUGGUUGCACCGUAAAAGCAUGCCGCUAAUGCACCACCACUGGGCACUGCAGCAGGCAGGAGACUGCAGAUGUGUUUUGUCCCACUGUAGUCCGAAUAACCCCUUCCAGGAUCAUAGAAGUCGGCCAUCAGGGAAGGCAUUUCCUAGUCAGUUGCAGCUUGGAUUCUCUGUCUCCAAACAAAAGUAUGUAGUGUAUGUAUGUAGUAUUCAGCAGUGGGCUCUUAUCAUCUAGGACAGUUAAGAAUUAUGGUAAUAAUAUGUAUUGUUUCAGGUCCCUUGGGAACCUCUCCAAGCAAUAAUUUUCGGCAGGUGUCCCGUACCUGGCAUUGAGGCUUUUGUUUUAUACUUUGGGCUUUCUGGGAGAAGGGUUACCCAUCCUUCACUCAUUCUUGCCGAGUAACUCCAUGCAAACUGCCCUAUGUAAUACUUUUAUCUUUUUACAUUAUCAGUUUGGGUUAACUACCUGUUGACGUAUGUUGAACUAUCCCUGCAUCUCUGGAGGAAAAAAAAAUCCAAUUUGUUGAUUGUAGCAGUUGCUGGACAUCUUAAAAGCAGCAGUGUCAAACAACCAGAACCCUCAGAACCCCCAGGGACUAAACCACCAACCAACAAAAACAGGGUCCCAUAACUCCAUGUCUUGUUAAGAAUAUCACAUUUGGAUCUGGAAAUGAUGGGCCAGGUAAAACCUGAACUUUGGAGAUUGAGCCAAGGUCAUUGGCCUGUGCGGAGCUAUCCUGGUCUACAGAGUGAGGGCUAUGUACCAAGAAUCCCUUCUCAAGACAACAAAAGAAGAGUACGUACUAUUUGCUCAAUUUAGAAGAUUCGUCGGCUUCUACGGAACCUUAGUUUUCCUCCUAGACCUCUGUUUUCCAGGAGGGAUUUAUGAUGUACCCCAUCAGUCACUCCAAAUCUUGAUUGCUUUCAGCUCCAAAGUGAUUCCAUAGACAUCACCCUCAAAACCCAUGACAGUUACUUUAGAAUGAAAUGCAGCAGGCCUCCUCGUUGUUAAGAUCCCAAUAAAAAUGCAAUUGCGCUGCGCCCUACACCGUGUCAUCUCUUGUGCGCAUGCGCAUCACCCUCCUGCCACACCGCAUGCCCCCUUGCCUUUUUCAAAAUAAAUUCUCUGCUUUCCAGACCAAAAUUCUUUUCUUUGACUUUUUUUCAGAGUGCCUUUUCGAGAGUAAAAACCUACAUUGUUUCAGUCAAGUUUCAAUGAAUGGGUCAUUUCCCCGCAUUAUGAACUCGCUGGGUAAUAAGAGUUAACAAGAGGGAGUGUUUCUACUGCCUAGCAUCCGAUUUUCAGCUCUUAAACAUUCCCCUAUAUGUGCAAGGAUCCUGUCACCCUGGGAGAGCUCUUAUUAAUCUCAGUGUCGAAGCUGUUUCAACAAAUCUACUGUAAUAAUGAAAAGUCAUCUUAUCACACUUUGCUCUCAGUAAAUUUACCAUCCUUUGAUAAGGUUGCAAACAACUGGGAAGUAAUUGAUCUGUAAUUAGCGCGGCCACUGCUGAAGGGAGCCUGUGCUGAGCCUUCUUCAUUUAUCUGCCCAGCACAGCACAUCCUGCCUCGGAACACUAAAUUAUUUAGUAUUCUUUUCAAAUACAAAUGGUCUCAAUGGGUCCUCCAUUAUUUUAAGAACUUUCUGAAGAAGAGGCUAACAUUUAAAUUUCUGAUUAUCUGUCACCAGUGCAGUAGUUAAAGGAGCUGGGAGUGGAAGGGAAUCAUUUUUCACACAUGACUUGUCUGCUGAAGCCAGCCUGAGCUAUGAAUGGAGAAGGACAGGGGCCCUUUGAUCUGCACCAAACUUGCACAAUUUAUCUUUUAAAUGCACUAAAGCUUUUGAUAAAUGUCAAUUUGACAAUUAAAUUCUUCAAGGGCCACAAUAUAUCACCAUCACAGUGCCUAUUUUUGAGGGUCGGUCAGCCAUAACAUCUUUCAGCAGUCUACAGCAAGCUCGAAUCAUGGGAGAAAUGAUAGCUCUCAGGCCUGCCUGUUCUCUACAUGGUAUUUUUAUCUCUCGUUAAAUAAAAGAGCUGUGAUCUUUUCCUUCAACACGGGGCUCAACUCCGGUGCCAGAGUUCAUGGUUGGCCUUGCAACCCAAAGUGACUGUGUUCUCUGCCAUCUUCCUAAUAGUUUAGGGGAGAAAGGAGCCUGUGAGGAGCUUUUUGAAUCUUUGAAGCAGUGGGUUUUCCUUUCCUCGCUACAAAGGUAUUUUCUUGUGUGUGUGUUAUAAGAAACAAGCCAAGGCAAGUCUGUUCUUCUCAGGGGCCUCAAGUCAGCAAGAGGGGCAGAGGUAGAACCAUAGGGUUGUAACUUUGGUCUUAGGAAAGCCCCCCAUUAUGUUUUGAUUACAAAGGUCAUUGAUUAAGUCAAAGACCACAGACGGUAGGCUCUUGUCAUACAUAGCUGGGGAGUUAGAUGGCUCACCCAAGGAUUUAUGGGGCAGCCUCGCCUUUGAGGCCAUUCCACUCUUUCUUUUCUUCCUAUUUUUUUUUUUUUUAGUAUAUAUGAACUUCAAAGUUAUUUCAUGCCUAUGCUCAAAUCUUUCUGUAUCUUUGAGGACAAGAAUAGCCAUCAGAUAUGAGGAAGGACAGCCUGGCAUCUCGGAGUUUACAUUCAAAAGCUCUUCUCUUCUCUGCUCUUUUGGCCCCAUUAAAACUCAACAUUAGCUGGAAGAAUAACAAUUGUAAUGUGACAUUUUGAAAUGCUUCACAUGAAAGAUGAUUUCGAACGCCAUGGUUACUGAGGGGUUUGCUAAGGGCUGACAAAGGGACAGAGCAGCUGUGCCUGUGAUCCCCUCUCAAGAAGAGAUAGUGUCUCCAGAGCCCAGCGCGGCCCUAUCACCCAGAUAUUUGGCAUGGGUACGAUGCUACCUUUUGACAAAAGUGACAUUUCGGUGUGAUUGUGAAGGAAAUUAAAGCUUCCAGAUCAGAUAGCUGACCCGCUGAAAACACAGCCACCCGGCGCUCAGAAGGCUGCAGCAUUGCUUCUCUUCUCGAGGACGGGGGAAUCAGUACGUAAUCCUUAGAAUCGCUAAGAACAAGUGGGAAAGAGCCACCUGAGUGUCUCCGGGGGGCCUCACUCUUUAAAACGUUGAUUAAUUUUUUGGAUGGGCUAUCAUGCGGCAUUGUCAAUCAAACAGUGAUAGAAUUAUAGUGUGACAUCAGCCCUCGGUACAGCUCAAGCCAAGAGGGCUCAGAGGCUUUUCUUUCUAUAAAGGAGACGGGGGUCACCCCUCUGACCUUUAGAAUAUCAGCGGUCUCCGACUUUCUGUGAGGAACUGAGAAUAGGAAUUUUGUAGCUAGGAUGAACAGAGGAUUUUGUCGUUUCCAGAAGGUAACCCGGCAAGUCAGGAUUUAAGGAGAGGAGCUGGUUUUUGGCCAAUGAGGUUCCAGGGUAGGGUUCUAAAUAACCUGGCAGCUCUAGAUGGAAUUUCAUUGGCCAUCAGCCAUCAUGAAGCCUUCGAUUGGCCACCUUCUGAUGUGUAGGUCUUUGCGGUGCGAUGCUUGCUAACUUGGGCAUGUGCUGUACUAGAAGGAAGCUCUUCUGUGUUUUCUCAUGUUGUCUUCAACUGUACUUCAUUGGCCGUAUUUUAGAAGUCCACUGACGGACGGAUAACGGUCUGUUUUAAACACUAGCGUUUAGAUUAGCACGUGUCACAAUAUAUACUUCAACGAGUUUUUUUUUUUUUGUUUUUUUGGUUUUUUUUUUUUUUUUUUUUUUGUGAGCUUGGCAAAGUCCUUUGGAAAGAUGUUGCUAGCGUAAUAAGCUUCUGGUCUCACUCCCCACGUAAAUUGUCUUUUGAAAUAUCACUAAAUGAAUCAUGAAGAUUAAACAUAUGGAAAUCAGGUUGAGAAAUUAAUCUAAGGCAGAGGAUCCCAUCCUUCACCCCCCAGAAUAGCACUUGGUAAGUAGUUCUCACGUUCUCAGUAUAGCAUUUGGUUCAAGCUGUCCCUCUCAUUGCCAUUUCGUGCAUCAUAUGCCAUAGGCCAACCAUUCUCUGACACUGUGGGGUCCAACCUGGGAGAACAAGGCUAAUAAUGUAUUUCAAAAUACUUUAAAAUUAUAUAUUAUAUAUUAAAAGUAUAGAAAUCGCAUAUUAAAACUAAAAUGUAAUUUUUUCUAUCAUGUUAAACGCACAUAGAUGUGAUCAAAAUGGGGUGAAAGAUGUCGGUUGCUAUUUUCUCUUUUUGUCAAAAAGUCAUGCAAUCCAUUCUGAUUAUGGCUCCCCUUUAUGUCCAACAUUCUCUCCACUUUCUCACCUACCACACACUCUUUCUCUUUUCAGAAUAAGGUCAAAUAAAAAAACAAAAACAAGCGAACCAGAAUAAUUCAUAAAUAGAUACCACAGGGAAAAGGCAGAAGAAACAGACACACAUGCAGAGAAAACCCAUAAAAACACAAGGUCACAAACAAUAGCAUAUAAGCAAAAGAUCAAUGAGUCAAAACAAAAGUCCAAAGCAAUAUGAGUUAAAAAAAAAAAAAA